AGUACUGCUUUACCAGUUUGGUGAGGUAUGGGCUGGAUAAGUGGGCUAUAAAUCAGAUGGAAAAUUGCUUGGAUUCCUGGGCUCAGAUGAUGGGGAUCUGUGGAAUAGCCCACCGAGUGACCUGAAGAGGCAGAGAGAUCUGGACACAUUUGCCACUGGAACUUUAUUCCCUGUGUGCUGGAACUGUUUCCUCCUGUGUCACAGUGGUGUUUGGACAUCUCCUCUAGGCCAUAUUGAAAGACCUGAGCUGAUUGGAACUGCUGAAUCUGUAGGGAGGAUUUCAGCACAGCUCUGAGUACUGGGACAUCGGAGCUGUGCAAGGAGUGGGGAGGGAAAUUCAAGCCCUCCCCCCUUCCCUUUGAGUCUGUAAUCACAAACUGGGUGAAAGGCUUAAGGAUUUUGGCCUAGCCUGUUGUCUAGGAAGGCUGGAAAGAUCAGCUGCUAACAUUUCACCACCAACUGUGAAAAGGCAAGGAAGUGGCUGCCGGGGCUGGAGCCUGUGGGAAUCCCUGCUCUCGAGCAUCAGCUACUCUCUCCCACCUACAACAAAAUAACAGGCAGGCGCUCACCGCGAGGCUGGAAGUGUUCUUGGUGAUGGAGCUGAGACACAUGAAUCUACCGAGGGCAGGAGUGAAAGGCAAUUCGGUGCAGAUUUUGUAACAGAGAGGAGGCAUGGAAGAUGGUUAAUGUGACAACAAUUGCUGAGAAGGUCCCCAGGAGUGAAAUGGAGAACUGCAGACCGUCACAUUGGAGUCUGUACAGAGCAACAGGGUGGAAGUGGCAAUGCUGUGGCUGAGGGAGGCAGAGGUUGGCGGCCAGGGGCUGGAGCAGCAGCCACAUCCUCGAGUUGCAGCAGCGCAGUUUGAUGCUGUGGUUGUGCCAGGGCUGGCUGAGAACUGCAGUCCUCUCAAGCUGGUGGAAGAGCUACAGAUGCUUGCUGCUAAGAAUAACUGCUUUUUCACCUCUUGUCCACCCCUCUACCAGCCGCUUGAGGCCACCAUUUUAGACUUCAGCUGAAGCUGCAAGGAGUUAGUGAUCUUGUUUUCCAGAGACUAUUUGAAGUAGAAAGAACUGGAUUUUGCCUUCAUUUACGCCUCGAGGAGCUGCCACAGGAGGAGGGGCCAGUGUUUGCCAGCUUGCUCUGCUCCCUGCAGCCCUCACUGGGGAGCCGCGCCACAGGAAAUGCUGAGCAGGAAUCAGGCAUGAGAGCAUCGUGCUGGGUUGGUUUUCCUCUUGGAAACAGAAGGUGGAGCAAGGCACAACGGACAAGCUCGCAGGCAGCACUCUUCCCCUGCAUGUGACGUGUGCAUUGCCCUCAAAUUCAGAGGAUGGCUCACAGCUGCUGUGACCGCAACCAGGACGUAUGUGGGGCUGAGAGCUGCCCACGGGAGCCAGGAGCAACGACCAGAAGCAGAGAAAACAAAAAGGGGUCCAAAUCUGAACUGCGCUGAUGCUUGCGUGUGCGUUGACCCGGAUUAGAGACCUGGACUCUGGCCUGCCAACUCCAUCAGCAUAGAAAUUUUGUUCAAAACAGCAUUAUAAGUUCGUGUGCUUUGCUUUCAGAUAGCGAGGCAAAGGCAUGCGGAUAUUUACAAUCUGCUUUAGGAAAACCUGAUAGAAGUUGUUAGCUGUUCUGUUGCAAAGGCAGUUUAUGUCACCCACAUCUGCUGCUGAAGGUACCCAGCCAGACGGCUGGCACGGCGCGAAAUGCCAGCGACCACACUGGCUGCAAUGAGGAGACGAAAAUGAAAGAAGGAUGAAGACCUCAUAAGCUUUAUCAAAAGCCACCAAAAAGUUGGGAGAUUUGGGGAUUACAUCGUGUAAUUAUAUUACCUUAAAGAAAAGUUUACUGAAGAUUUCCUGUUUUGUGUUGCCAGCUCUUUUCAGCCAUUAGUAACACAUAACUUCUCAUUGUCUUUUCCCGAGGCACAGAUGGGCUAAUUUUCAGCUACCUGAUAAUUACACAUUGUUUGAAACUGUAUCAAAAGCUUCUGUUCCUGUAUUUCUCCAGCAGCUGUGCUACAGCUCACCAAGUCCCUUGAUCACGGCUUGCAAGGGCCCACAUACAUCCAUCUGUCUGGAAUGGAGUGGCAAAGCCUCCAUGGUGGCAUUCACACUUUGCGGGUUGCUGGGAUUCUCUGUUCUCAAGGUGGGUGGAGUGCCUGAAGCUUCACUGAAAGCACUUUCUUGGCUCAGUGUCAGCUCCAAGGGUUAAUACGGGGAUAAUGCUGCAUCGAAACAUGUCUACUUGAAUAUGUGUGGGGAUGCUGACGUCAUGGGGAAAUGAAGGGUAAAGGAACACGAGAUACUGGAAAUCAGCAUAACAAAGGUUUAAUCUUGAUUUCACUUGGGCAAAGCUGUGGAUGUGGUCACACCACAGGGAUGCCACAUUGGAAAAACGUGGCUGUACGGAGAGGAAGGGCAAUUGUCCUUUACAGAGAGUGACGGUUGAAGCUGGAGAAACCUCUUGAUCCCUCCUCUUUGAGAGUGGUUACUCUGCCAGUUGAGCUCUGAUUGGUUUUAGAGAGCAUUUUCUCAGCUUUUUUGAGGCUGCCCCGUGGGAAAAUGCAAAAGGCCUCACGUCUGUGUUUUCUGCUUCCCCAUCUUCGUGUAUGCUUGUUGCCAUAUCAGAGGGAAAUUAAAUUGGGUUGACAUGACUGGCUCUUGACAAACCCAUGUUCUUUGAUUUUAUUCAUCAUUUUACAUCUUACAAGUUGCUCGUUUAAUACUUUCUUCUAACCUCUUGAAGGGAAUUGAGAUUGAGUUGAUUAUUCCAAAUUUUCUUAAAGUCUCCACUUUAAAGAAAGGUGCUUCUCUCAUCUCCAGGGACCUCUGUGCCUUCAUAAAUUUUGAAGAUAAUCACCAAGAGUUCAGUGUUCCUGGGUGCAUCUUAUCAGAUCCUCUCAUUUUGAAUACAUUUGAUAAAUCUAAACGGCUUUAAACUUCUUUCCUUUUGUUGGCCUUCUUUACCGUUCCCUUCAAAGGUGCUUCUGUCAAGCUUCGUUCACAAUUAACCUUUUUUUAAAGCCUGAAAUGAGAGAGAGGGGGCAAAUUCCUGCUUUGAACAGCUGGUCAGCGCGCUGUCCUUCCCCAGACGGCUCUGCACCUACACGUCUUGCUGUUCUCGUUUUACAGCUAAUGCAUUUGCAGACCCUUGCUGGUUUCCCCUGAAACCUUGAGCACACAGCCCUAGCUGCUUGCAUGCUGCGAACCUGUAUUAUUCCUGUAUUCUCCCCCCAGCACAUGCCUGUUUCCACUUUCUAUACAAUUUCUUUCCAGCUCCUAGACCCUGAUGCUGCUGUAAUGCCAUCUAAUUAUGCUUCUUAUCUGCUUUCACAGGGGAGCAGUUUGCUGUUGUGCACCAUCUCUAGUCUCUUCAGGGAACUGCCAGUUCUGCAUUUCCUUACAGCAUAUUUCCAUCCAAGAGAGCUUCUCCACAGCUUCCCUGAUCUGUCAGACGCUCAUUAUUUUGUUAUUUCCAUUCUCCUGUGUGAUUGUGCUGGUGGGAAGAGACACUCAGGUAGCUUUUCCUUUUGGGAUGUGAAUUAAGGACUAGCCUGAUAGGGCUGCAGAACUGAAAGGGGGCCACUGGAAAACUCCCAAAUCCUUCUGGCGGUGGGACCCUCAGGUGGGACCAAGUGGGGACUGCAGCAGAGAGAGUGCUGCUUGGAGAACAGAUCCAGAAUUGGAUGGGCCUUCUAUGCAGGGCAGCACAUAGGAAGGGGUGAUCUGCAGCAGCCCACCCCCUACACUUUAACACCUCCUGGGAGCAUUCUCCAUGCACGUCAGGACCAAGAUGACAAACUCAGGUCUGCUAAUGCCUUGACUCUUCAGGUUAUAUUCAUACUGUCAGCUUAGGAGAAUGACAACGCUCCCCACCUGCAGAGCCCUGUGUCGAGGUGGGUUUGGCUGGAUUCUCCGCACAGCGGCACCACCCACUCAACUGACAUUUACUGUGCUGGCCUGAAUUCCUUCACUUUUCCCCCAUGGCCAUUUGGAGUCAAGUGCCACUGGAAACACGGCUCCCGCCGGGAGGAGUUUCAGAUGCAUUCAGAUCUGAGACAGUUUUGAAUGUAAUUUUGAGUUUUACAAAGGCUCUUCCGCUCGCCUGCUUGCCGCAAGUAAUGAAGCAGCAAGAUAAAAGGCAAGGCCACGGAAGGUUGUUAAAAAAUUACUUGCAAAUUAAUGUGAGGACAAGGUGUAUGAGUUAAUAUCAUAUAAAGACCCUUAAAAUCGGCGUACAUGCAUGCACCCUCCGAGCACUGACAUUCGCAGGCAGAACUACACUGGUAAACUGAGCCCAAGGGGCUUGAUUAACAGGAAAUUUUCAGAAUGCCAAUUAGAGCAAAGUUUACCGAACAAAUUGUUUGCACUUGUACCCUAGAACCAUCAUGAAUUUUAAUUCAGCAUGGAUUUACGUGGCUGAAACAAUAAUUAAAGAUACAUGAACGCUUCACGUUCGGGAGACUCCCCCAUGGCUCCACUGCAUUGGGUGGGAGCAGGGUGGCUGGGCAGGGGCUGCUGCUGCCAGGCUGGCAGACGUGGGAUGCACGUGGCUUUUCCCUACAGAUACAUAAGCAGUUUCCCUAGUCCUGAGCUCGCCGAUUUGUGCAGUGUUAGUCUCUUGUUUCCUUAUUCUUUUUUCCUUCUUUUUUUUUUUUUUUUUUUUCCCUUUAUGCAGUUUGAUAAAGAAUGAUCCACGGGGUGUUUUCUCAGUAAAUGCUGGCUUGUUGUUUCCUGCCUUUCACUUUUGGUGCUUGGGAGAUGUUAAAUUAGUUCCUCAGCUCCCCUGAAACCAAAGCCUUGUGCAGUAGUUUCGCUGGCCCUGGGCUGACCGAGGGCUCCUUUCUCUCCUCAUCCCCACUCCUCUUCUGGGGUCAGAGGUGGGGAGAAGCCUCACCGCUGCCAUAAUGCACCGAGCAGCUCAACUCAAGGCAAAGCUACCACACAGCAGCAACGAAAAGUCACGAUUGAGCAGCACAAUGUAUAUGUAUGCCUUCAUUUAAAUUCUUCUCUCCCUCUACUAGUGCUGAUAAAUAAGUUACACGUAUUUUUUAGAAGAAGUUAUUUUCUGUCACUGCACUUUUAAAUGUCAAGCUCCUGGAGAGGAGUCUUCAAGAUAGUUUAAGGUCAGUCAGGCUUCAAGGAAGAAAGAUGCAGGUGGAGAAGAAAAGCUGCUGUUGUGCUGUGGUCCAGCCCAAAGCAGGGCUCCACUCUGAGCGAUGGGCAAGCACAGGCACCUUGAGUGGAGAUGGUGCCCAGAGGCAUUGCCCUCCCUGCACCUCAGCACUCACCCUCGGCUAUGGAAUUACCGAAGACUUCUACACAAAGCCCACUGGCUGGAAAUGAUCUAGCCUGUUAGUUCAGGAGCGCUCAUGAAUAAUGUAUGCAUCCAAAGGUCGGUUUACAAAUGAUUAAUUAACCUUAUGAGAGGUUAUCCUCAUUGGCAACAUCAUUCACCCUAAACAGCUUAAUCAUGUCUGCGCAGAACAGCAUAUCUGAAACACAAACAAUUGUAUGAGAAGGAAUAUUGAGGAAUCAUAGAGCAAGGGCCAGACAUCUGCACUGCUCACUGGAGCAGCGACCGAACGCCAAGCACAGGGAGGACCUGAACCACAUCUCCAGGCUGUUCUGUAGGACUCGAGCAUCACUUGCUGGAACCUGGCGGCUGCAUGGUGGGGUGUAGCUGGCAAGGUGCAGAAAUUGCACCUUCGCUAAGGGUCGAACCCAAGAAUGACAGAGGGAUGUCUGAAGCACAACUUUGAUAUGGCACAAAGCUCUAAACUGAGGACAGUCAUCCCUACAAACACCUCCCAGCCUCUGUGCCUCAACGCUAAGUCUAGGGGAAGACUCCUCUCAUGCUCGUGGGCUCAGCCCAGAAGUAAUGGGGAGCCCAUGCCACAGCUCUGCUAUCUGCUGGUGGAACACCAAGCCCUUCCCGCAUCUGUCUUCUGGCUGCCACAACCUCACUAAAUCAUUCCAUUUUAAUGCAUAUAUUUAUGCUUUUUUUUUUUUCUUUUAGAAGCAUGAAAGUGAUUUACAACAUUUUACACUACAUUUUUUAAUCCUUCACAAUUAAAACAAAUCUUCCCCCCCCCCCCCCCCCGCUUUGCCUAUUUUUAAAAACAUGUCUUUUGUUCAGCUCUUGCAGAAAAAUAUGGAUGGAAGCAACUCCUAAAAUCCCCAACCACAGGAAACAAAAUUGGUGUUUUUCCAAGUUAAGUACUAUAACAGAGUGAAACAUACAUGUUUAAUUUGAAAAUGUUGAUUCCAAAUGGAUUUUUCUUUUGAAAAAACUUCCCCCAAGCAAGUCAAUAUUUGUAAUCAAAUUGAAAUUUCCUGUGGGAAUUAUUUAUUUUCAUGAGGUCUAAUUUUUACAGGGGAAAAUUCUGCACAGGAAGGUUUAAGUUGCUGUAAACCAGCGUUAGGAAUCUGGGUGGUAGGAGGGGGGCUGGGAAAUCCCACUCUGUGCUGCAAAGUGUCACCACUUCCCUGUGAUGGAGGUGUUGUGAUGAAAAAGUUGGAACUCCUCUUUGAAGAGGGAAAAGCAUGAGCAGAAAGGUGAGAAAUUGGGAAGGAAGGAGCAUUCAGUUCGCUAGAUUUUUCCUCCCCCCUUUAUUUCUUGAGAACACAGCAGUGUGGGAUAGGACUCACCACGAGCAACGCUAGAGAUGGAAGUGAGAUACCCAAGAUGGCUGUUCUGAGCCUCCUGUGCUGGGGCGCCCUGUAGUUCACCUACCCUUAUUCUGCCAUCUGUUGGAAGAAGUGGGUCAUGCCAUUGACUUCAGUUGCCUUGAGGAGACACGGGGAUAAGAGCAACUGGUCCACGUCCACUGUAACCAUACAAAUCCCACCCACAGUGCUUGACGUGUUCAGGGGUACAGGGGGAGUGUGCAACCCUGUGCCUUGUGCAGCCGUUACUACACUGAUGGGACUCUCAGCCAGUUCUCCAAACCUCAUGAGAAGAGAGCAUGUUGGUCUUCCAGCAUCUACAAGGAAGCCCUUCAAAGACAGUUGUCAUGGCUUCAUCCUAAGGGCGAUUUUCUUGUAGAACCUGUGUCCACUGUAGAGCAACGACUGUGGCUAAUGAUGUGCAUAAUUUACAUUAUUAUACCUUUCAUUUUUGUAUUAUGAUAAAUCACCUACCUUCCCAUUUCUUUUUAUUGUGAUGUGCUGGGAACACAAUAUAGCAGGAGGAAAACAAUACAGCGCUGCCCCUGUCAGUCUCAAACACAGAAGCAGCACACCCAUGCUACAAACACUCACAGAUGCACAGCACCGUAUCAGAUUAUUAGCUCCAAGGCAACUGUCAGCAUGCAGUUUUAUUGGAAAUGAAAACAAGGUAAUUCAAGAUUUAUUUUCUCUCUAAGGAAGUGCCAGGAGGCAGGAGCCAGCCCCCGGCAUCUACCGUAAAACACCCGGCGCAUGGUAACGUGCUGCUCCUCAAGCAGAGCUCCUGGACUGGGGAUUUUUUGAGUGAUCUCUUCCAAAAGAGGAGAAUUCUCCUCCUUGUCCCCAGACUGUAUCCUGAAGGGAGUGAUGUAGAUUGAGUGACUUGAGUUUUGCUUUACCUAAAGGGAGAUAAAUGCACCCUACACUACUGUGGCUGCAGGCACAGCUCCUGGGAGACAUCGGGUGGCUCUUAAUCACAUAUCCUUGAAGCUUCAGAAACAUACCCUGAUUAUUUUCCGGCUCAAAGCAUUCAUUGCCUCCAGGAUAUUACCAUCUUUGCCCCCUUUCUAAUGGUUUAGGGUGAACUGAUUACCAAAUUAAAACCCUUAUUAGCAGCUAUCUUGGUAUGUCGUGCCCUGAUUUUAUUGCUGUGCCCAAAAGUGAUACGUGCCUGGGCACCAAGACAGGCACAUGCUGUGCCCAAGCUGAAAAUAUUUAGGAACUGGUAGGAAAAUCACAGGAAAUAUUUCUGAGUGAUUAAUUUAGAGUCGUUGAAGACCGUUCUAAAAGAUGCUCUAAAUGUGUUCAUACCAGCUGCACUGGUUAAAAAGGCAAUGGAAAAAUACACCUUGGUUAGAUGAAAGGUGAAAGAAGCAAUAAAAAAGCAUAAAACAACCUAUAUAAUAAAUGGGAUAAGAGCAAACCAACAGCAACAAUUAUUGGUCAGAAGGCAAGAGAUGCGAACAGUGCUUGACAAUAAGCUGUGUCAUGAAAAGAGCCUUAAUGGAGAUGGAGAGGCAGCCUCCACGUCCGGGUGUUUGGGUUCGCAGCGAUGCUGGCAGUCCUGCAAAGAGGGAGCCCAGCAGGGCUGCUCCGGUGUGUCGGUAAUUUCAAAUGGAGGCUUGCUGUCAUGUUUUGGACUGUGCUGAACUGUUAAUGAAACAUGCCUGCCUCCCCCUAGGUGUGUGUAUUUCUUUAAAAUCUGAAAAACAAAGCUUGGAAACCUAACUCUUCAGACUAAAAUGAGAAAAAAAAGAAAAAAAAAAAAAGCUUCUUUUCUUAGUGUGUCAUCAAUCUUUUUUAAAGGUCUUCCCAGCUCUAUCAUCACUCAGAGAUGCAGGAAGAAGAUCCUGCAGGGCACUGUGGAAAGAUCCGCAUCCAGCAGUACUGUUUGGACAGUCGUACUCGACCAUCAUUUCCCAAACGUGAGAUGUUCAGCUGCUGCUCAGGAUGUCCCCACCAAGGGGAGCAUCCCUCCUUGGACACUGAUCUCUGCAGUCCUGAUGCUGAAUUAUUCUGGGAAGGAGUAUCAGGGGAACAAAUUAGUGAGGUGUUCUUACCAGAAAAUCCCGUGGCUACAGCUACCUGCAAGCAACAGGGCCCAGAGACUUGUACUUCCCUAUUCUGAUGCCUAAGCUUGAGGUUUGCCAGCACCUCUUGGUGAGCAGGAAGCCUCCAGCUGUGUUAGCUCUUCUGGCAUGGCAAUUGCUCCAAAGGAGUUUCUCCAUCCUCCCUAUCUUUGCCUUAGUGGAAGGCUGAGAAGCCCUUGGCUGCCAGCCAUUCCAAUACAUCUUGCAGGUAAUCCAUAGUUUCCUGGGUCAGAGCAGCUUCUCAGCAGCAAUCCUCUACUCUUAAAGUCAGUCCCCUUUCCUAGGUGGGAUACUUCUGCAGCACAAUCCCGUGUUCUGCCCUGGGUGAAGUUAGCCAGGACUUUGCACUCUCAAGGUCUUCAUCCAAAGCAGAAGUAACACAGCAAAAUGGACGUCAUGCUCAACCAAGAAGUAGUUGACACUAUCAGGACUUGGAGGAAUUAAAAUAAAUGACCAAAGUAAUUUUUGGCAGAGGACUCGAUUUCAAAGGACAAUGCACUGUCCAUUCUUCCCAGGGGAUGUUCUGGGAUAGACCUGCAUGAGUAACCUACAGCCAUUUUGAGCCAUCCCCUACUGCCCUCAGCAAGAACUUUCUGACCAAAACUUCAGGUGGAACGUACCAGCUAAGUGUGCUCAAGAUAUAUCACCCAAAGGACUGACACCACCAGCAGGACCAAAAGGAUGAUGUGUUCAGCAUGCUCAGGUUGGGCUUCAUGCCCAAAGGCAGCUGGUUUGUCCUCAUGGGGCAAGUCCUGCAUUGCCCAGGAACCACACUGUGCAAAUCCAUCGUGGAGGCUAGAACACAUCCAUGCAUGGAUCCUGAAGACUAACCUUGUCCCCUUCUCCAGGUGCCUGGGAACCUUGGCCACACACACGUACAGACCAGCCAGGUGCUGCAGGAAGCAGCAGGAUGAUAGAUGGCACCUGCAAGCUGAGAGGUACACGCACAAAACCCAUUUUUUUCUCCGCAAGGUUCAAAUAUUUUUGCUCCAUCUGAGGCUUGGAUCCAGGUUCUCCUGCAUGGCAGUCAGAGAUGCUGGAAAAGGCUCAACAUUAGAGCUCAGGAAUGGGGGCUCAGGUUCUGUUCCCCAGCUUAGGGCAGUGCUGGUAAAGAUCUGCCCUCACCCAGGCGCCUGGGAAGCUUUUGGCUGCUGCUGGCAUUAGUGCAGAAAGCAAGAAGACAUUUACUUCCAGGAACAGAUGCAAACACGGGGAAUUGCCAAUUGGCCAAAAUCAAAUACAACCUGACCUCUGAUGAUCUGCAGCCUUACUACUUUCAAACAACACUGCACUCAAUAUUGGCAAUAUAAUAGUUUACCUUGGAGACCCAAGGGCUAAAGGAGAAAUGAAACCUGAAGCUGCUGGAGAUGUUGCUUUUCCACUGUUUCUAUUACCGAUAACAGGCCAGCAAAACCCCACGAGGUCCUUGAGCUCUAGGAGAGCCUGCCUGCACCUCCUCCCCAAGACUUCGUGCCAAAAUACCCCAAAACUUAAGAGCUGGGCUUUAUCAGAGCACCUGAUAAAUAUAGAAAGUAGAGAAUGAGCUGGAAUAGUGAUGUUCUACCCUGGGAGGAAGGUCCUUUCUUUUGGGUUUCCUUUCAGUCCUGCAACCUCCCAGCGAUCCCCUGGGUAAUCACAAAGCCUUGCUGCCCCCAGAAAAGCCCCUUUCUUUCCUUUGAAGGGGAGCUGACACCCACAGGGAACAAACCCUAAGUCAGAAAUAAUGGGAGUCCUUUGAAAAAAACCAAAAACAUCCGAGUCUGAAUAUAACCACAAGGAAAAAAAUGGAAACUUAUCUGCAAUAUGCACCCCCUCCCAAGCAAAUUAAUACCCUGGACCAGAGCCUUGUCCAGAAGCAGUGUAAAUAUCUCAGCAACUCAUUACCUUGUUAAUUGGAUCACUCCAAGCUUUUUGGAACCAGUCUAAAGCACAGUCAAAUCCAUUAAAAAAUGGAUUUCUUAUUUCUCUAUAGCUGUCUCUAGCUUUAGUGCUUUUUCUAUUAAACAUUGGCUAGAGUAGCUUCUCCCUUUACCUCAACUCUUUCCCAGCAAGGCACUUCCUACAUUUUUGAUGUGUGCCCUUCUUCCUGCCCCCGAGGUGCCGUGUGGGUGCUGGUAGGGUACGCUGGGAGCAAUAACCCUCCUCCUGCCAAACUGCCCCUCCUCAUCCUGUUCCCACAUCCUGGGAUCUCCCUCACUUGGAUGCUCCAACCCCAGCACAGAGGAGAAAUGCAUCCGGGGACACUCUGAGCUGCACUUUGCACUUAUUUCCUAAGAAACUAAAGAUGUGUGUGGGGGGGAACCAACACAUUGCUUCCAUCCCCUGUACAAACCUUUCACUUACCAAGGCAUCCACGUGCUUGCCUACUGAUUAAGAGCACUAGGGCCACUGUGUGAGAUUGGACACGACAGCAGCAUAAGGGGAGCCAUAUGCUCCGCCAGGAGAGGAGCAUACAGCCAUUAGGAGGGGGGCUGGUGCUCAGGGCCAUGGCUGAAGCUGCAGGGAUGUGGGUGCUGCUCCCCUCACAGUUCAGCCUUUCACAUCCCCAAGGACCAGCGAUGCCCUCACUGAGGGCAGUGCAAGGAGGUGGCAUCCAAGUACCAACCAUCUUUUGCACAGAGGGAGCCCCUCCAUUUGUUUUUCCAGGACCUAGCAGCCCAGCCUUCUCCUUGCCCUAUGAAAAAAACACUUGGCCUUCCUGCAGCAUCAGCAGCGCGGGGUGAUGGGACCCAGGGCUCCUGCUUCAGGCAUCCUCAAACUGCCACCAUGUCCCUAAGGCAGAGCACAGCCAGGGCCAGGCAAAAAGUCCUCCCACAACUGUGCUAAAACCUUUUAACAGCCAAGAACCAUUUUCUGCAUGGCGUGUCAAGCAGUAAAGCUGUUGAAUAGGCAGGGCCAGGGGUUGGUUUAGAGUGUAGCAGCAUGGAAUGCCUUUUUCCCAGCAGCUGUGGUGGUCAGGGAAGUCUUUAAGCCCCUUCACUGUUUUUCUGGCAGCACCUUCCCACAUCUGCGGGUCUGCACAGUGAACUGUAUCACUGGCACAGCUGGAGUUAAUUUCGACUUCUGAAAGAGGGAAGGAGGAUUAUGUUUAUAUAUAUGCAUAUAAAAAUGUGUAUUUUUAAACACAGGAAAUCCUGGUUCCUCCCUGGGGCUUGGCUGGAUGGGUCGCAGGGCCAAAGGAAAUGCUCUGCAGCAGCACCCUGCAUGCCAAGCACUUUACCAGGGCAGGUUUUUGCAGCUGUUGGGCUCCUUAUGUCCAUACCCAGCCUGCAAAGCACCCUGUGGCAUGGUGGGGAUAAACCUUGGUGAACAUGGCUGUCAUUGUGCUGCUGGAUGCGCGCCCUGAGGUCUCACCACAUCAUGCCAUGUGCUGGUGCUGCUGCUUGGCCAUCCAGCUGCUAUCCUGAGGGGAGCACAGAACCAUCCCCACCUCCUUCCACUCACCUCAACACCUCUCCGUUGUCCAGAUAAAGGAAACAGCAGAUGGUGUCCCACUGAGACCUGGUGUUACCCCUCUCUGUGCCCAGCAGGACAGCAGUGUCACAGCGGAGACACCGUGGUCUCCUCCAGCCUUCACCACAUUCCAGGCCCCUCAAAUCCAGCAGCAUGGAAAAACCUGCAAGAUGACAGAGAGCCCUCUUAUUCCUGCCGUAAUUAAUCCCUUUGGAAUUCAAUUAAUGAGCUCCCUGCUGCAGCUAUCAAGCCUCCAUCAGUUAGGCAAACAGGCGUGCAAGGCAGGCUGGGUCUGUAUGAGCACAAGACAAAUAUUUCAGCACGUCCAGAUAUAGCCCAUCCUUCUGCACUCUGUGCAGCUCAGCUUUAAGGUGUUACCCACUGGUGGGAACUUCAGGGCUCUGGUGGUGAUUGGAAGAACCUGUGCUCCCCUCUCACCCAUCCUGAUCGGAGAGCACCUGCCAUGGGAAUGGGCUGGGAUAUGCACUAGCAAUGGUGAACAACAGCCAACACUGCUGCCUUAUUUUUAUGGCUUUCUGACUUUUUCUACAAAUUUGGCUGGGCUGGAAGUGUGACCACUGAUGUGUUCUGAGCUGCUCUCCUAGGAUUUUGGAAGCGGGAGUGCUCGAUUCGGGCCACACAUUGCAGGACACCCAAUUUCAAACCCCAGCUCCUACAGUCUCAUCAGCUUCCCAGCCAGGCUGGCUGCUCAUCCAUCCCCGGUGCCCACCAGGGCCCAACAGCCCCAUAUGUGUGGGGAUGAACAAGCAGCAGCUGCAGCUCUAGUCUGGAGAGCUCAUCCCAGGGGUGCAGUUGAUGGAGCACCCCACUCCUGCUGCAGUGCUGGGAACUGCACGCUCCCACCACGAUGGAUAUUUCCCAUCAGCACACUCUAUUCAAAAUGAAACCCAUUAUGGCAAAGAAAAAAAAAAUCUUUAAUGAUUGUGCUGCAUCAACAUGAAUGAUGUCACAUGUCCAGACUGCCUCGGAAAGCACUGAGUUGCCAAAAGAUGGUGAAUGUCUUCAAUAUGGAGAGAGAGGGACCAGAGGAGAGGCUAAAACUGAAACUUUCCAGCUAUGCUGUUGAUACAUGUCCUUAUUUUCUUUUGUUGGAUAGCAUGCUCUGUUUUGUUUUGAAUACAGCGUUAUUGCAGCAGGGCUCUGUUAGCCCCUGGGGGUGGAUGCAUGGAAGUUGGCAGCACCUGCAUCCCUGCUCCCACCUCUCAUUUGCCCAGGAUAACCUGCAGCUUGGGCUCGGUGCAGACGUAGACCAAGAACCUGGUGGUUCUGUGUAACCUCAUCUCUCUCUCUCUCUAUAUAUAUGUGCCAUACGAACCCUAUUGCAAAAAAUGAUCAAUCCUUUUAAUUACUGAAUCUCAUGCAGUUCUUGAGAGCAGUGCCCUUGCACACUGAUGGCUUUGCCCUGGGGAAAGUUUGGGGUCUCUCCAGCUGUUCCCACCAUUGCUCGGUGUCACAAUCCAGGACACAGGUAACACGAGACCCUGCUGAAAUGCAGAUGGCAAUGCCAGAAGGCACCGAUGUGAGGCAUGGAUGCCAAGCAGCAAUUUGUUCUCUGUCAGGCACGGCCUCCCCAGCCUGGCCAAGCAAGAAGUGCUGCACUACAGGGGUGAAGGCAUUAUUUCUUACAAAUGCCCUUUUGGAACCCAAAUUUUCACAUUUGUACGCUCAUAUUUUGCAGUAGAGAUGGAGUGCAUCAUUUCCCUGCUUAAACAUCAUUUCAUUUGUAUUGCAUCUGGAUUCAUAAUGAAAUGAGUGUCGCAGCGACCCUGGUAAUUUUAUGGCUCUUUUACCAAUAUUCUGCUUGAGUCAUGGCGGUUUGACCGAGAGGAAAAUCCUGAAUGUCCAGAGCAACCCACAGCCUCACAAAUCACGAACCAAACCUUCCUCGUCACCUCCCACCCACUGCGACCCAACAAAUCAAAACGUCUCACGACUUUUUUAGAGAAUAACAAAGGCAAUAAACUUCUACAUCAAAGGCAAACCCCAGGCUCCCAAACUGCUUUUGGAAAUGCAUCUUUUUUCCAAGCUCAUAAGAAGUACCACACCACCUCUUUUUUUUUUCCCCCCUGUCAUUCCUGUAAAAUAUUUAGUGCUUUCUCUUCCCAAAUUUAUAAACAAGUUGGCUGAUUGUGCAGAUGAAAACUGGUUUAAAAAUUAAUUGAAAGCCUUUAAAAAUUAAUAAUUAUUUCAGCUAAUUAAGGGUGGCAGCUUAACAUCUUUUAAACUGUUAACAAUUUGGUAACUGCUGUGUGCAGUGCUGUUGGAAUAGAAAAUGGUGGGGACCGUGAGCUGAAAAAAUGUAGUCUUCAGUGUUUCAGACCCCGAGCAGGUUUUGGGCCCUUCUGCAUCGUCUGCGUUAUUAUUGGCAGCACUACCACAUCUAUCAAAAAAUGGAUCUCUACCAUCAUCGUUUUGCUAGAAUUUCUCAUGUUCCAGAUAAUUUAAAAUGCUUUCUUGUUGUCCAUAACGCAUUUGGAUACGGGUUUUUUAAAUGGAUACUUUCACUUCUCUCAUCAAUUGUUCUUUAUUUCAUAGCAUCUGAUUUUUAAUCACAACCAUUACCUUCCUCCUUUCCCUGAUUUGUUACUUAUUAUCUGCAGCUUGGCUCGCUCCUCUCGCUUCCAUUUUUUGCCAGGAUUUGUUGUGAUCUUUCCUUUGUGAUCAUCAUAAAUACGCUUGUCAGGAAGGAACUGAAACAAAGAGCAUUUAUAGCUCUGAGAAUUUGAGAGUUUUCUGUUUUCCAAUAAAUCAGUUGGCAGAGCUGUAAAAACGUGCAGCAUGUGUGAGAACUGACUGUUGGGUUUGGCUGUAAGGGCUUCCAACUCUUUAUUGCAGCUGAAUUGGGCAGUUGAUACCCAUGGCAUCUCUUGCUGUUGCAGAACCCAUCAACAGGGGAUACUUGGCCCAACCUUAGCACCAAAAACCACCUGGGUGUACCCUACAAUGCAAAAGGGCCUAUAUUUAGAAUCACGGAAUUAGGGUUGGAAAAAACCACUAAGAUCAUCUAGUCCAACUAUCAACCCAUCCCACUAUGCCCACUAAUCAUGUCCCCAAGUGCCACAUCUCCAUGGCUCUUGAACGCCUCCUGGGACAGUGACUCCACCAUUUCAACCCUAAAUCCCGUGCUGUGUACUAAAGGCAGCCCUCUGUUUCCUGUUUGGACCUGCUGUGCCAUGUAGACCUCCUUCUGCUCUGAGCUCGUGUUGCAGCUUGGCCCCGCGCUCCCAUCUCAGGAGUUUCCUGAUGGAUCCCUCCCCAAAGCUUCAAACCAGAACUAGAGUUAAGAGGAGCCAACACUCCUUAUGGGGAGGUGCUGCAAGGCCAGAGGGACCCCAAGCAUCCCACUGCAUCUCCGAGGAUGCUCUGCCUUUCGCUGCUCAGUUAUUCCGCAGCCCAUCCAGACUCUACAAUGCCCUUUGGCAGAAGUUUAAUUAUGCAAAAUUGUUACGAAAAAGCAUUUCUUUUGCCUGGUUCACACGUCCUCCUUCCUGCCAGCCGCUCCCAGCCCUCAUCUUUGCUGCCUUCCUCUGCAUCUCCCCUUCUUUCUCGUUUCCUCUCUUUGCUUUCCAGUGGAGGGAACAGAUUUGUGAGCAGUAUUUAAGUAGCAGGUGAAUUAUUGAUCUGCUCAAUGACAAAUUGAUCUCUUCUGUUGUGUUUAACACUUUUAUUUUCCUCUAAAAAUUUCCACGCUCAAUUUACUUUUUAGGCCAUCACAGAUCGCUGAGGCGAUGUUUUCAUAACACGAUGGCUGUGCAAGGUCCAAGUUAUCUUUCCUGGGCAGUAACAGCUCAUUGAAGGCUCACGACUAUUUAAAGUACAAAUAGAUGGCUUCACCCGUGCUCAUCAUUUUGCACAUUUCCUGGAUUCCCUCUUAUUUUACUGUCCAGAGGUGUUCGGCUGCAGCUUUUCACCAUCAGCUCUGACUAUUGAGGUGUUUGGGGCCCUUUUCAGUAUUAUCCUCUUUUGCACAUUCAGGCUCUGAUCCCACACCUCGACCCUCCCCGGCCCUCCACAGCUCCUGCUGCUGAGAUGAUAGACAAAAAGGGUCAAUUAUGCGAUUUCUAUACCUUAGAAAGCUGCUAAUAAAAAAAGGGCUCCCCUUUAUCGUAGUUUUAAGUUUAAUUUGUCAUCUUGUGCUCUUUUUUAUUUUCCUCAUUUGGACGUGACUUCCACUUUCUGGAGGAUACUAUUUUACCUCUGACAAACUCCUUUAGUCUGUUCUUUAAUGAGAACAGCUAAUUUUUUGCCCUUUUAAAGUCUCUUUUGAUAAUUGUAUAGAUCUACUCUCAUCAUCUAAUAGAAGAUCUUUAAACAAUGUCUAUGUCCCCUGGAAGAAUUUUACCCUUUUGACAGCUGCUUUUUAAUUUCUUUUUAACAAGCCUCACCACUUUUAUGUGGAUUGCCUUUUUGAAAUGAAGUCGCAAUGAACUUUUCCAUUUUUUUCUUUCUUUCUUUUUUUUUUUUUUAAAGAAAAAAAGUCCUACAAUGCCACCGACUUUAAGUACAUGAUGGGCACUUUUAGAGAGGCUCUUCAAUCACAUUUUAAAUUAGCCCUGUGGCCUGCACAGGAUUGAAUCUACCAUUGCUUCUCCUGGCUGUCCCAAGAAGGAGCUAUUUUUAGUGUUGUCCGAACAUUUAACCAUUUUGCUCAGGGAGUAUUCCAAGUCCCUCAGCACGGAGCUGGUUUCCACCUUGUUCACACAGCUUUCCCCACUCACACCCCCAGGCAUCACCCAGCCAAUAUGCCAUGCUCAUCCAUCCAAUCCCAACGCUUUCAUCCCAACACCUUUCACCUUUGCAUCCUUAGCACUCUCCUCUGCAUACCUGGCCACCAUUGGGAUGCUCCGCAUAGGUCUCACCUCUGCAGGAUGCCCAUAAAGGUAUCCUGGUGGCGGCCCAGGUCUCACCUCUCCUCCAACUGCUUCUUCUGCAGGUCUGGGACCUCUUUGGUGGCAACCCAGAGUUUCCAUUAUUCAUCGAGUGUUAUUCCUGAUAAGAGAGACAGUGUUAAAAAGCAAUUAAAAUCCUCAGGUUGUGCAUUAAAAGAAAAAAAAAGAAGUAAUUUAAAACUCUAAACAUGCUUCUGACAUUUUCUAAAUUAAAAAUCAGACCCUUCCUCCACGUUUUUCAGUUCAUAAAAUUUAAUCAGUGUUACCAUUUUAAGGGAAUAUUUUGGACUAAGCAAGAUGCAAAUUUUUUGAAGGAUGGGAAGGAGCACUGUUUCAGGUUUCUGGUUAAACCUGUGACUUCCAUCCCGCUCCGUGCCCAGGAUCACCAUCUGCAGAUGGCACCACGGGCCCCGUGCCAGCAGGAGGGCUGCAGAAAUCCCUCGGUGCCAUCCCUGCUCUCCUAUUCUAGGCUGAACGCAGGAUUAUUUCCUGGUCUCAUCAUUUUCUCCGAGCUUUUUUAUCACUGCUAAAAGCUGUCAAGAGCAUUCGGCCACAGGGAGGAGGGAGAAAGGCAGACAAGGAGGACUGUGUUGCAGGAGAGGUGUGCUAAGGGGAGCGGAAUGGCUGCAAAACUUCUUCCCCUAUCAAUUGUGUGAUUUCUUACGCCACAGGCCCAUGGAAGAGCAAAUCUGUAGAAAGCCAUGCUAACUCAUUAAAAAGAAAAAAACAACAACAAAGCAAAACAAUAACAAAACACACAAAAAAACCAACCCAGCCCAAGAACCCCACAAAGCACUUGGAUCCUUAUAGGCCACUGAUUGUGGCUGUGGUCAGAGGAUACAACCCCCUCUGUGCAAUCACUUCCUUUUGUUUGCAUGGCCCAUGUUCAGACCCCAGGCUUUAGGGAUAAAGCAGAUUUUCUUCUGAUUAAAGACGUUGGUAAGAUUAAAGAUACACAGCUGAGGAGCAAAGCUGCAAAGCAAAGAUCACUUGGUAACUUUUCAGCUUGCAAUGUGUGUAUUUUUCAGUUGCUUCUCCUGUUUUUGAAGAUGCAAACUGGAGAAGGCAAUAACCCACUGCCCCUGGUCCUGGUUGGGUCUUAUCUUGCUCCAAUUCCCAGCACUUGUCUCCAUCCCACAAACUUCCCCAUCCAACAGCAAAGGAUCCUCCACCUUCCCAGGAUGUGUUUUUACCCCAGGGCAUGGUUUUACCCCAGGGCCAUGGGCAAAACACACUCAUCUCACAUGCUUUUGUGUCCAGGCUGGUUGAACAGGCAGGUCAGGGUGCCCCUAUCAUCCCUCAAGCCAGGCACACAGGUGGAGACUGCAGGGUGGUACCCAUGGGAGUUGGGGACAUCCCUCCGGUUGUGUGCACAUGGGCAUCCCCCAGGACAUAGAUGUGAGUGGAGCCACUCAAGUGCUGUCUCUCCAUCCUCUCUUCACCCUUCUUAUGCCCACAGGGCAUGAGGCCGCUUGGUAGCAUCUGCCCAGAGCGUGAGCUGCGUCAUUGCCCCCAAAUGGCUGCUAUGGGUUCUCCAGCCAAACAAAGCAGGUGCCCGCUGCCUGAAUUUGUCCAAAAAGCCACCCAGGCUUCAUGUCCCCUGCUCUACUUGUGGUAUCCUGAUGUGGGACAGGCAGAGCAUCCUGUCCUGCCUGCGCUGUGUCACCGCACAGUGCUGCUAGGCAUCUGAGCAACAUCUCCCAGCCCUGAGCAGUCAGUACGGACAUGGAACAGUACGGGCACCCAUCUCUGACUCAGCAGAGAUCCCAAGCACAGGGAGGUGCCGCUGGGAGCUCUUGGCAGCGUUACAUGGUCACGGAUCAUCCUUUACCUGCUGCCAGUCUGCCCAAACCAAAAAGAGUCGCGAUCAAAAGAGUUGCAGAGCAGAAAUUAGAAGGGUUUAGGAACGGCUCCCUCACAACGCAUCCCUGCUGCACCCGGUCCCCGCGGUGUGUCCCUCUGUCGCUCUGUCCUGCUGCCUGCAGCCCUGCAGCUCCUCGGAGGCACCCACACGGCUCCGCUGCCUUUAAUAGAGAAACCUGACACACGCACACGGCGAGCGCACGCAGAUCAAACAGAUGCUGCCUGUCACAGAGCUUAAAGCCUAAUUACAGGAGAUUACAGAAACUAUUUAUAAAUAUUUAUACCCAUUUAAAUAUAUUUAUAAAUGUAUCAGGAUUGGAUAAAAGUGUAUAUUGUUAUUUUAGCUUAAGACAGCCGAAUAUCACUUAUACAAUACUCAUACAGUAAUCAUAUAUUUGUAUUAAGCUUCUUUUUGAUUAACAUGGACAGCAUCUGCUAACAUUUGAAUUGCUGUUAAUACAAAGUAGGUUGGCACCAAUAUGCUAAGGAGAACGGGUGGCAGACAGUAAGACGUCUGGAGGCAACAGAACAAACAUAUCAGAGCAGAAAACUCUCCCCCUUCUUAGGCUGGGUAGAAAUCCUCCUGCUUCACCAACUAGGAUGCAGGAAAUAUAUAGUGAGGGUUAUGAAUUUUGUUUUGGCAGUGAUUUGAUGAAUCACUGUGCCUUCCCCAUCAUUUGCUUGCACUGCAUGUGUGAGCACCCGGGGUGGUGGAACUGCUCCCACCUUGCGUGGUUCUCUGCAGGAGUACCAACACUUCCAGCACCUAAAUAUGGUCCUCUGUCACCCAGCGGCCAUGUGUCCUUUUGCAGCUCAUGUUGGGAGCUAUGGAGCAAGUUGACCUCUGUGCCAGGCUGAGCUGUGCUUCUUGCUCUGCAGCAGUUUCAUUCCUCUGUCAGAAGCUUGGGAAAGUCUCCAUUAGGAAAGUCAGACCCAGAGUGACACAUUUCUGGGACUUAUGGGAAAUCCAGGAUUUGGGGCAGGAGAUGAAUCUUUUCCUGUGUUCUUACUGAAAGCACGGCGGAGAAGACUCAAGCCUCACCUGUGGUGCUCAGCAGGGGCUUUCUGCCUGUUGGUGCACACCAAGGUGUUGGCUGGCAGCCACCAACCUGCAUGGAGGUCAGGACAGGGCUGAUGGGUGCUCCUGGAGGGAUGUGGGCAUAGUGGAGGGGAAAGGAAGGAGAUAUGUGCGAAAAAUGGGGAUGGUGGGCAGGGCUGUCUCAUAGAAGAUGCAAGAUAAGCUUAGGAACAGCUCAAACCCAGCACGAAGACCUGUCCAGGCACUUGCCAUGCAACCAACCUGCUGCCGCAGCUCAGGGCUUCAGUGGCCAACCUCCAUCCCCAAGGUGAGCCACUGCCAGCCCAUCCCUGGCUCCUUCCCCACAUCCUUUCUUUUUUCACUCUGGAGAAGACAAAGCAGGAUCCUUGCUCCUCAGUCCCGGUGGGGCGGUUUUGAGCAGGACAAUCCCUUUGGUCAGGCAUCAAAUACCAGCAUGCGAGCCAUCUGCUUCUUUGACUGAAACACCCAGCGAAAAGCUGCUGGAUUGGAAAAAGGAUAUUAAUCUGAAAAGCAUACAACAAAGCGACUGCAGGGUGUUCCCCCCCCUCGAGCCAGAGCGAGUGAGGGAAAGCUGAUUACCAUGACACACAGGAGCCCUGAUCUAAUAUUCCACUUCAAGAUUUGCAAAUAAUGUGCCCAUUAACAUUCAUUAGCUCUUUAAAUAAUACCUGCCAGGCCUUCCAGGCAAGGAGGAAAGGCCCCUGCGCCCAGAAAUCAAUCACGCAAUGGCCUCUAAUUGUGUGUUUUCCACAUUUACUCAAAGCUUCCGUAAAACAUGGCCAGGACCAUGCAAAGCUGAAGCUGUCACUCCGUGUGCCCAUGUGCAGGGCUGGCUGGAAGUGUCCUCCCCAUCCCAGCUGUGGGAUGAGGAUCCCUGCUGAUCAGCGGCUGCUCCCCGACAGAGGGAAGGCUUUGCAGGAAUGUGUGACAGCAGCCUCACACUGCCAGAAAUAGCUUCUGUCCUCCACCAUCAGUGCAGUCUGUGGGGAUAAAGCAGUGGGAAGGAAGAGGCUGGUGGCAUGUCCCACGAGGUGACAUUUCGCUUGAGUUCUGGCAAGUGGCUCCAUGGUGCUGCUGUGCAAUUGGUGAAUAAACCUAAGGUUUAGAAAUUGAGACCGAUACCCGAAGUCUUGCUUUCCUUUGCUCCACUCACUGAGAUGCAGAAACCUUCCUCAUCCUUCAACUUCUCCUACCUAAGGAUACUAAGGUCAGGCUGGACGGGGCUC
ensembl:lncRNA